rnacentral:tRNA from 1 species
GCGGCUAUGGCGAAAUUGGUAAACGCGUCGGAUUUAGGUUCCGAUUUUUUGGGGGUUCAAGUCCCUCUUGCCGUA